CUUCCAGACUCCUACGGGAGGCAGCAGUGAGGAAUAUUGGUCAAUGGGCGAGAGCCUGAACCAGCCAAGUCGCGUGAGGGAGUACUGCCCUAUGGGUUGUAAACCUCUUUUGUCGGGGAGCAAAAGCCGGACGUGUCCGGCUGUGAGAGUACCCGAAGAAAAAGCAUCGGCUAACUCCGUGCCAGCAGCCGCGGUAAUACGUAGGGGGCAAGCGUUAUCCGGAUUUACUGGGUGUAAAGGGAGCGUAGACGGCGCGGCAAGUCUGAAGUGAAAGGCAGGGGCUUAACCCCUGAACUGCUUUGGAAACUGCCAUGCUAGAGUGCUGGAGAGGUAAGUGGAAUUCCUAGUGUAGCGGUGAAAUGCGUAGAUAUUAGGAGGAACACCAGUGGCGAAGGCGGCUUACUGGACAGUAACUGACGUUGAGGCUCGAAAGCGUGGGGAGCAAACAGGAUUAGAUACCCCCGUAAAG
rnacentral:rRNA from 1 species